rnacentral:lncRNA from 1 species
AAUCGGGUAAAGUCUCGGAGCCGAUAGUAGCGGUCAACCCUAUUUACCGUUAUUAUUCCUUAUGGAGAGCCCUAUCGUCGGAAAGUAAAUGUCUCAAAAUUUUUAUAUGGGCAGUUGCGUCUCAUCUACGUGAGAGUUUUUGGUGUGGAAGGUUUGACCAAAUUACGUAAUAUAGGGGGAGAUAUGAGCGUUUUCGUGAAUUUAUAGACUUUAGCCGACGAAAAUAUAUGAAAAGUCGUCGGCUAAGGUCAAAAAAUUUCAAAAUUUUUUAGGCGGUAAACCAAAGUUGGAGGAAAAUUUUCAAAGGACUUUAGCCGACGAAAAUAUAUGAAAAGUCGUCGGCUAAAGUCGAAAAAUUUUCAAAAUUUUCAACCAAAAUUUUUUGGCGGUCAACCAAAAUUUUCAAAAGAGUUUAGCCGACGAAAAUAAAGAAUUUCGUCGGCUAAAGUUCUUUAUAUAGGCGAAGAUGGAUGGUAAGAAGUCUAUUAUCUGCCAGAUUUUCUUCUCGGCCUAGCUCCGCCGUCAAGCCACCGGAGACCGUCGCACUUGUCCCAAAAGCUUCGCCGUCGUCUCUACUUCAUUGCUGGAUAGGUGGUGCAUCGAGUGGCGCCGCCGUGAGGGAUAAAUCGAGCUCCAAAACUCCGCCGGUUCGGAUUCGGUGUCGAUCCAAUUUCUCAUUCCUUAGGUCACCAUUUGGUGAGUUCUAUAUAUGGAUAAGUUGAGUUUGAUUAGUACUACAUUCCCCUAGAAUUUGGUAGCUCGAUUCGGUGUGUGUGAAGAGAAUCGAAGAUUUGAAGUUUUUAGGGUUUAAAAUUGGGGAUUUUUAUAUUUUCAGUCGAUUGACCUGUUUAGGCUUAGAAUUGAGCUUCGACUUCUUCUACAAAGUUGUUCGAAAUGUUGAGAGGAAGAUUCUGUCAAAUUUUGGUCGUGAUUGGAGGUGGCCGAAAGUUUCUGCAGUUUUUUUUUUCAAAACCCAGAAACUUUAGCCGACGAUAUUUAAACAAUAUAUUCGUCGGCUAUAGUAUUUUAAAUUUUUUUUAUAAGGUUUAG